rnacentral:lncRNA from 1 species
AGAAGCCAAAAUCAAAGCACCCACCAAAAACUUCCACCAAGGUACUAAUCAGUAUAGCUCAAGAAAAUGGCGAAUAAACCGUUAAUAUGCACAACAAACUCAUCACAUGGCCUUUACAGAUUGCGUAUAUCAAAAUUUAGCAAAUGACAUUCAUGAAAUACAUAUGCUUACGAACUGUGUAUAUACUUGUAUAUGUAUAUAUAUAUAUAAUCAUUGUUGUGUAAAAAGAAAAGAGGACUAGGAGUCUUGAGCUUUGAUCUUGGCUGGUGUGUCGGGUCGGGUCUGCGGAGUCAAGGAGAUGAGUCUUGUGGCUGAGUGAACUGGGCUCGGUGUUGUGGUAUUGAGUCGAGUUGGGUGGAUGUUGUCACUGCUGAGUUGAGUCAGGGGAGGAAGGUUGACGGCGGCGGCCAUGGCUGCCCUAUGGUCGCCGGGAAUCGGAGCAAGGAGAGGCGACGAGGCAGGGGCCUUGUCGCAGGGGUCACCGGGAGGGAGAGAGAGAUCGAGGAAGGCGGCGGCGCCUCGCCAUCGCCAAGGAGGAAGGCGAAGGCGGUGAUUCUCGACGCCGCUUCGUCGUCCAUGCGUCUGUGUGUGAGCCGUUCUUUGAGUCGCCGGAGGUGAGGGAGAAGAGAGAGCAGAGGGAGUGGCGGGGGUGUUGCAGGGGUGCCGGGUUCUGUGGGUGAAGGGAAACGAGGGAGGUGAUGAUGUGAGGGCGGCGGCCGUGAUUGAUCGCGGCGCUCUUCGCCGGAGAAGAGGGCGGCGCCGCACCAACCUCUGGUGUGUGCGUCAGUGCGUGUGUGCGUGUAAUUAAGAGAAGGAGGAGAAAGGUAAUAGGGUUUGGGAUUUGGGCCUUUUAAAUUUCAAAUCAGUUCUUUUAUUUAAGACCUGGGCUUAGCUUUAUUAAUAAGUGUUGGGCCGAUUUUAUUUUAAAUUGGGCUGCCCUAUUUUAUUAAUUGAACUAUCAUUAGUUUAAUUAAUUUAUUUAAAGAAUAAUUUGUAUAAUAAUAAUAAUAAUAAUAUUAUUAUUAUGCGUGGUACAGAAUAAACAUUUUAUGUUAUUCAGAUAUUAUGCAGCGGUUAUGUAAGAACCUUGUUUUUCAAAGGCCUUAAGGCUUCGUGUAGCACCUUUUAACUGAGGAAUAUAAUUUGUGUUUUAUCGAAUUCACUAAUAUUUGGAUCUUCAAGACGUUCAUUAAUAAAAUCGAUAAGAUUAUUAGUAGAUUUAAUUUUUUCGUUUAAUUUUUUAAAAUAGUGAGCAUAUUUGCUACCUCUAAUAAGAUAAUCAUAUGGAGC